CAAUAGCGUAUAUUAAAGUUGUUGCAGUUAAAAAGCUCGUAGUUGGAUUUCUGUUUUGGAUGUCCGGUCCGCUCCCUCUGGGAGUGCGUACUUAUGGAUGUUCGAGGCAUUUUUUGUGAGGUCGCUUUUCUGCCAUUAAGUUGGUGGUUUUGCGGGCUUGCAUCGUUUACUGUGAAAAAAUUAGAGUGUUUAAAGCAGGCGUUUGCUCAUUUGAAUACAUUAGCAUGGAAUAAUAAGAUACGGCCUUGGUGGUCUAUUUUGUUGGUUUGCACACCAGGGUAAUGAUUAAUAGGGACAGUUGGGGGUAUUCAUAUUUCAGCGUCAGAGGUGAAAUUCUUGGAUCGCUGAAAGAGGAGCUUAGGCGAAAGCAUUUACCAAGGAUGUUUUCAUUAA
rnacentral:rRNA from 1 species